rnacentral:rRNA from 1 species
AGGACGAACGCUGGCGGCGCGCUUAACACAUGCAAGUCGAACGUGAAGCUGGAGCUUGCUCCGGUGGAAAGUGGCGAACGGGUGCGUAACACGUGAGCAACCUGCCCCGAAGACUGGGAUAACACCGGGAAACCGGUGCUAAUACCGGAUACCUUCUUCCGAUCGCAUGGUUGGAUGAAGAAAUGGAUUCCGCUUCGGGAUGGGCUCGCGGCCUAUCAGCUUGUUGGUGAGGUAACGGCCCACCAAGGCGACGACGGGUAGCUGGUCUGAGAGGACGACCAGCCACACUGGGGACUGAGACACGGCCCAGACUCCUACGGGAGGCAGCAGUGGGGAAUCUUGCUCAAUGGGCGAAAGCCUGAAGCAGCGACGCCGCGUGCGGGAUGAAGGCCCUCGGGUUGUAAACCGCUUUCAGCAGGGACGAAAUUGACGGUACCUGCAGAAGAAGGCCCGGCCAACUACGCGCCAGCAGCCGCGGUAA